GCUAUAAUGCAGUCGAGCGAAUUGACAGAGGUGCUUGCACCUCUCGAUUUUAGCGGCGGACGGGUGAGUAACACGUGGGUAACCUACCUAUAAGACUGGGAUAACUUCGGGAAACCGGAGCUAAUACCGGAUAAUAUUUAGCUUCGCAUGAAGCAAUAGUGAAAGACGGUUCUGCUGUCACUUAUAGAUGGACCUGCGGUGUAUUAGCUAGUUGGUGAGGUAACGGCUCACCAAGGCGACGAUACAUAGCCGACCUGAGAGGGUGAUCGGCCACACUGGGACUGAGACACGGCCCAGACUCCUACGGGAGGCAGCAGUAGGGAAUCUUCCGCAAUGGACGAAAGUCUGACGGAGCAACGCCGCGUGAGUGAAGAAGGUUUUCGGAUCGUAAAACUCUGUUGUAAGGGAAGAACAAGUACGUUAGUAACUGAACGUACCUUGACGGUACCUUACCAGAAAGCCACGGCUAACUACGUGCCAGCAGCCGCGGUAAUACGUAGGUGGCAAGCGUUAUCCGGAAUUAUUGGGCGUAAAGCGCGCGUAGGCGGUC
rnacentral:rRNA from 1 species